rnacentral:ncRNA from 1 species
GAAAGCCGUAUUCGAUGAAAGUCGUAUGUACGGCUUGGAGGGCACACGAGGAAGCGAGCUAGUGUAGUUGUUCAGCGGAGCGAAGAAAGCUGUCCGUUCUUUGGAUUCAAGAAAGAAGAAAUAAUAAGAAUUGCUUCUAAGCUUUU